AUUCAGUUCAGACUGCCAGUCUCCUCUAACACUGGAUUUACUGGGGCUGGCUGUUGCACUUCCCUCAGCUGCUUCUCGGAGGUCCUGGCUUCUCCUCGCCCUCCUGUUUGCCCUCAGUCAGCGUUCAGUGUAGUGCACAGUGUCUGACACCACACUGACCGUGUGGUCUGACCAGCAGAACCCAACAGGAGCGGCAGGAGCGGUUGCUUCCUGCAUUCCAGGCUCUGUCCUGCUUCAACUGAAGACUGUUCUGAGACUAAUCAGGGACCCAAACUGAUGCAGACAGAAAUCUCCGUGGCAGAUCAGGAAGGGAAAAUGUCAGUGUGGUUGAAUUUACCAGGCAUGAGUCACGUCCUGGUAAAUGAAUACAUUUGGGGAUGGAAGAGAGACACCGUCUUUCCAGUAUUCCAAGUGGAGAAAUACUGUUUCACUGGAUACCUGAGUAACUGCUGCACAGACCACGCUAUGCAUGUAUGAUCAGGUCUGCAAGCUGAACAGAUGCUCUCACGUGUCAUCUCUUAGAGGACCGCCUCUUUUUCGUCAUGGAAUAUGUAAAUGGUGGAGACCUCAUGUUUCAGAUUCAGCGCUCCCGAAAAUUCGACGAGCCUCGUUCACGGUUCUAUGCUGCAGAGGUCACAUCAGCCCUCAUGUUCCUCCACCAGCAUGGAGUCAUCUACAGGGAUUUGAAACUGGACAACAUCCUUCUGGAUGCAGAAGGUCACUGCAAGCUGGCUGACUUCGGGAUGUGCAAGGAAGGGAUUCUGAAUGGUGUGACGACCACCACGUUCUGUGGGACUCCUGACUACAUAGCUCCUGAGAUCCUGCAGGAGUUGGAGUACGGCCCCUCCGUGGACUGGUGGGCCCUGGGGGUGCUGAUGUACGAGAUGAUGGCUGGACAGCCUCCCUUUGAGGCCGACAAUGAAGACGACCUAUUUGAGUCCAUCCUCCAUGACGACGUGCUGUACCCAGUCUGGCUCAG
rnacentral:sRNA from 1 species